rnacentral:rRNA from 1 species
GAUGCCUUUAACCGGGUGUCGGGGGCGGACGGCACGUUUACUUUGAACAAAUUUGAGUGCUCAAAGCAGGCUUAUGCCUGAAAAUUCUUGCAUGGAAUAAUGGAAUAGGACUUCGGUUCUAUUUUGUUGGUUUUCGGAUCCGAAGUAAUGGUUAAGAGGGACAGACGGGGGCAUUUGUAUGGCGGUGUUAGAGGUGAAAUUCUUGGAUCGCCGCCAGACAAACUACAGCGAAAGCAUUUGCCAAGGAUGUUUUCAUUGAUCUGGAGCGAAAGUCAGA